CUCCCUAGAAGCAACAUUAUUUUUCCUUUCUCCUGAAGAAUAUUUAUCAUGCUUCGACUUCUCCCUAUUCUUGAUUCUUUCCAGAUUGUCAUUUUCUCCAGAUUUCAGGUCAGACAGGCCACUGGAUGUUUGCUCUUUGUAUUUCAGGUCCUUGUGGUGUCUCUUGUCUCUUGGUUUCUCCCUGUCACCUGAUUCAUCAUCCAAAUCCUGCUGUGUUUUAUCAUAAUUUGACCUCUCCUUGUGCUUGAGGUCCUGGUGCUGUCUCUUGUCUCUUGGUCUCUCCCUGUCACCUGAUUCAUUGUCCAAGUCUUGCUGUGUUUUAUCAUAAUUUGACCUCUCCUUGUGCUUCAGGUCCUGGUGCUGUCUCUUGUCUCUUGGUCUCUCCCUGUCACCUGAUUCAUCGUCCCAAUCUUGCUGUGUUUUAUCAUAAUUUGACCUCUCCUUGUGCUUCAGGUCCUGGUGCUGUCUCUUGUCUCUUGGUCUCUCCCUGUCACCUGAUUCAUCGUCCGAAUCUUGCUGUGUUUUAUCAUAAUUUGACCUCUCCUUGUGCUUCAGGUCCUUGUGGUGUCUCUUGUCUCUUGGUCUCUCCCUGUCACCUGAUUCAUCAUCCAAAUCUUGCUGCGUUUUAUCAUAAUUUGACCUCUCCUUGUGCUUCAGGUCCUUGUGGUGUCUCUUGUCUCUUGGUCUCUCCCUGUCACCUGAUUCAUUGUCCAAAUCUUGCUGUGUUUUAUCAUAAUUUGACCUCUCCUUGUGAUUCAGUUCCUUGUGGUGUUUCUUCCUUUUUAAUCUUCCCCUUUCACCUGAUUCAUCUUCUGAAUCUGUUGGUGCUUUUUCCUCAUAAUUUGACCUCUUAUGGCUACCAUCCUUUCUUCUUUCUUCUUCAGGAGUGACAUUUUCAGAUUGGUGUCUCGAUGAAGAAUGCGUGUGAUGCUUUGAACUCUUGUGAUGAAGUUUCUUUUCCUCUUUUCUAUCGUGUUUCUUCUCCUUGGGCUUUUUCUCUUCCACCUACCAAAAAAUCAACAAGGACAGCAGCAUGAUCAGCAAAAGCUUUGGUGCAGAAUCAUUGUAAAGAAUUUUGGUGUACAAUGUAGUUAAACAAAAUGCCAUAGAUAACAUAAUUUUGUUGAUUUCUUUCAAUAGAACUCAUAUCUUCAUCAUAUAUCAAUGUUCCAUAGAAUUUUUUUGGGGGAGAUGUCAUGUGGCUUCCAACCUAAUCACGCAAUCUCAGUUUUUAACUUGAUUCAUAAUCUCCUAUUUUUCAUCCUUGGUGUCAUUAGGCACGUUGGCCCCACAAAUCUGUCUAAACAGACAAGUUCAAGGUUGUUUAGUCAUUUUUAAUAGCUUGCUAUUUUCACUCUAGGGAAAUAAAAAUAUUCUAAGAAUUCUAUGGACAUUCAGAGGGUGUUUGGUGAUUUACUUAAUGACUUAAAGUGACUUAAUAACUUAAUUUCAAUUAUUAAGUAGAUUAAACAUGUUUGGUAAAACAGCUUAAUAUCACAACUUGAAAUUAAAAAUGACUUUACGUAUCAAGUCAAAAUAAUUAACUAAUUAUUAAUCUUAAAUCUUUUUUGUUUCAUUUACCCAUAUGUAAGGAGAGUAUAUUUAACAACCAUGACUCCACAUUUCUGAGUCAUUUUUUAUAAUAAAUAUUUUAAGGUUAUUUUAUAUAUCUACAAUACUUUAAAUAUAGAUAUUUAAUAAACAAAUUUAUUGCUUAAGAUCAAUAAAAAUAUAUAUUAGUUAAAAUUAAUGAUGAUAAAUAUCAAUUACAACUAAUGAGGGUAAAUGUGAAUUUGAUAACUUAAAAUAAAUUUUAAGUUAAUUUGAUCAAACAACUUAAACACUUAAAGUAAAAUAUAAUUAAUAGGUUCUAAUUUAACAACUUAAGAGCAAUUUCACUUAAAGUCAACUUAAGUCAUUAAGUAACAAACAUUAAGUUUUACCAAACGCCCACUCAAACUUGUACUUAUUUACACUAGUAUGCACUCUUCAAUAAAGUUUUUGUUCAUAAAAGAUAAUUACUUGUGAAAAAACAAUUACCAUACCAUCACAACUCCUGCCACUAAUAUUUAGCUUAUAAAUGGGAUAAACUUACAGAUUUGCGGAUCAUGGCCAUCUGAACUGGAUUGUUCUUAAUGUGUGCCAGGGCUUCUUGUUCUCGCUGUCGAAUCAUAAGCAAAGGAUCAGAAUGAAGUUUCCUCCAUGUAUCAUUGGCAGAUUGAGGUUUCUCCUCAAAUAAAGCUCCUGGCACGGAUGGUUGCUGCUGCUAAGACAUACCACAAAUUCAAAAUUCAAAAAACAGCUCUUGAAUAAAUCAUGUGCCUUUUAUUCAUCAAUCAAAAGGCUAAAGCACUGGCAAAUAACCGAACUUCAAAUUACCUUGGCAGAAGAAGAGGAGGCUACAUCGUUGCUGGGCAGGGCUUCCAGUGCUUUGAAUCCAUCAGAGCUGCCCUUUCCUACUGCUAAUCCAGAAUCAUAAAGAAAUUCCAAUCUCUCUUGCUUGCUGAAAAAUAAAGUAGUUAAAAAAGAAUUAAUUUCAUAAAUUAUUCAAAACACUUAAACAUCAUAAAUCCUAAUAUGCAAAACGAAACAAGAAACUAGAUUGAUUUCAUAAAUUUAACCCUAAGUUUAAAAUCAACAAAUUAUAUUAAAAAAAAAAAAAAGAAUAAUGUAAUGACAAAAUGGAACAUUUUCAUAGAUCCUACUGGAAUGCUGCAAACCCUAACCUUAACCAUAGCCAUAAAAUCGACAAAUCGUAAUCCAUUUCAUAAAGAAUUAAUUAGUCAAACCCAAACUUUCAUAAAUUCGUUAAACCAGAGAUAUUAUAAACCCUAACUAUAGGCCUAACCCGAAGCUUAAAACCAACCAUUUAUAAUGAAAAAAAUGGGUUAAUUCCAUAGAUCCUUCCAAACCAAAAUAUUGUGAACCCUAACCCUAACCAUAAAAUCAGCAAAUUAUUAUCCAUUUAAUAAAUCAUUCAAACCAGAAUUAUUGUAAACCUACCCCCUAACCCUAACUCUAACAUCAGAAAAUUAUAAUCCAAUAAAAAAAUUCUGCAAAGCCGAGAUAUUGUAUCAGAAACCCUAAUCCUAAUAUGAAGAAAGUAUGACAAAAAACAGCGAGAGUAACAUACGGAACGAGGCCAGCUUGUUCCUGGAGGAGCCGAUAUUCUGAGCGCUCCCUCUCCUCCAGAAUCUGUUUGCGGAGCUCUUCCAAUUUCUUCUGCUCAGCGUCAUGCUUCUGCUCAGCCUUCCACACGUUCUCUAUGUUCCGAAGACUCCCCGUGUGCCAUCCCUUCUUGUUCAAAAACUUCAACGCCAUAGAUCUUCAAUUUCAAUUCCAAUUCCAGAUUUUUCAGAGGUUUAGAUCUGCAAAUUCUGCUGCUUUUAUUUUCACUUCUUUCCUUUUUUCUUCCGGAGGUUCGCCCAUUUCGUUGUAAUCUUAUAUUUGCAAUCAUUUAUUUAUUAUUAUUAUUAUUAUUAUUUAAAAAAAAAAAAAAAAAAAACACUCUAGAGGUAGGGUCAAAUAGCACGUGCCUCUUAUACUGAAUUUAUCUGAUAUUUGAUUGUUGCAAAGUGUAUCGAGAAAGAGCUUGAUCAUGGAAGGUUUCUCGAUCAUCAAUAAAAAUAAAAAUGUUGUAUUUAGAUAUAUUUUUUAUUUUUAAAAAUAUAAAUUUUUAUUUUUUGUUUUAAAAAAUAUAAAUUUAUAUAUAAAAAUUAAAAACUUUUAUAUAAAAUGUAUUUUUAAACAUAUCAUAAUAAAAAAUUUUAAUACCUUAAUUAUUAUUAUUUUUUUUGUCAAUUUUCAAAAAUCAUUAAUUUUUAAUAUAAGUCUAUAAAGUUCCUUAUAAAAAUUACUAUUAUUUCUAUUUUUAAAAUUAAAAGGACACUUUUUCUUAAUACCCUAGUUUAAAAAAUAAAAAAUGCUACUACAUGUACAACAAAAAAUGAUAAAUAAUAUUUAGUAGGAAUAUUGUAUUAAAAAUAUUUCAUAUUUUUAAAUACAAUUAUUAUAUUGUCAUUAAUUGCAAAAAUGUCAACAAAUGUUAUAAAUUUGUAAAUUUUGAUAUUCUCGAUGGAAUCAUUCCAUGCUAUGGAUUUUUUUUUUAAAAAAAGCAUUAUUAAAACACAAUUGUUUAAAAAAUAAAUACAAAAAUACCACACUUUUUAUCAUUUUUUUUUAUUUUUACACUAAACUAUGUCUUUUUAAAAGACAAUUUCCUUUUUUAUCUUAAUACUUUUUAUAUUAAACUUCUCUUUCCAAAAUACAAAUUCAUUUUUUUUACAGGUAACUCACAUUUUCAAUAUACGAAAUCUACUCGAAAUUAAAAUGUAUCGUAAAUACAUAUAUAUAUAUAUAUAUAUAUAUAUAUAUAUAUAUCGCCCAUGAAAUCGUGACAAAUCCACAACGGUUUGGUAACACCAUUUACUUGUGUACCAAUUCCGUCUUCCACUCUUGCAUGAAAAUAUUAGGUAUUGAAUGUCAUUUUGUUCAUUUUCAAUUCAAGUUUCUCAUAUAUUCACUAAGAAUCAAUUGAUGAUAUUUUAUAUUAGCCUCUUGGGAAGGAGUUUUCUUGCUUUUACAUAGGGGGUGCAAUUUGGAUGGGUUAAUCGAGUUGAUGGCUAAUCCAAGUCCAACAUGAAUUAAAAAGCAAUUAAUCUAUGUUCAAUCCAACCCGAUCUCUAUCUCAAGGUACUCAAUUUAAAUUCAACUAACUUCAUUUUUCUAAACCUAAGUUGAGUUCAGGUUAUUCAAGUUUGAUUCGAGUUAAAUUUGGGUUAAUCAGAUUGUAUAAUUCAAAAUUUAUUUAUGAUAUUGUAGACCCCUUUUAUGGGGGGCCCGGGGGGAGAGUUUUUCUCUCUUUGGGCAUUUCUUUUUUAAACAAGGGGGGACCCUUUUCUCUAGGGAAUGUUGAGGCCUCGCGUCCCUGGUGAUCCACGUAAUUGCCAAAUGGAUGGACGCAUGAUCUUAACCAAUAUAGAUUCCUGGUUUAGUCGUUCCUGCAAAAGGCGUCCGGACAAGGUGUUCGGACACACCCUCCGAUGGUUUUGUCAGCCAUGGUUAGAGAGAUAAAUCAGUUGACCUUUUACUAGGUAUAGCAAGCUUACCUUCCUCCUUGUAUGAAGGUCUAUAUAUAUAGUGUUAGGAACUUUGUUUCCCUCUUUAAUGGUAGGGAGAUAUUUUGGCUUCGUCAUGAUGCCUCUAGGUGGUGGCAAGGUCAUCAUCACCCUACGGGCGGCUGACAGAGAUCGUGGGAGGCGCCGCAACUGUCAGAGGUCGUGGGAAGUGACUUGCCGUCACUUCAUUCCUGUCUUUUCACUCUGCAGGUGGCGGAACGUGGGCCGUGGCAGGUUGUUGGAAUGAUGUGCAAGACUUGCUUACUUCAGUCAACAAUCCGGACAAAACAUAUCCGGAUAGGAUAUGUCGGUCGUCCGGAUGUGAUAUGACGGUCGUCCGGAUGUGAUGUUUGCGAGUGUAGUGUGCCUCUCCCUGAGGGAGUCCGGAUAGGAGAAGCGCGCCACGUGCACUCUUGGGGGAAUCCGGAUGGGGGUAAUCCGGAUAGAAACGUGUGCCACGUGUCAUUAGGAAAUGUGUGCCAUGUGUCAUCAGGGGGAGGGGUCCCUACAGGGAAGACCGGGCUGCAAAGAGGAAAAGGAGUAGGGAUGACCAUAAUUUCAGGAGCCAUGCCUGCUGAUGAGGACACAGGAGAGUGGGUGAGAGGGACAGAAGGCUUUUGAGGUCAGGAGGAGAGGGAGGGAGGAGGAGAAAAAGGCGCUCUGGAGGUGGCAGACGAGCAGGAGGAGGGAAAGCCGAACCACAUUCAGCUAGAAAGCUCAGGUAUGGCCAUCUCCUCAAUUCUGAUCUUUAUUUUUCGCUAUUUUUGCUCAGUGCUGUGAAUCUAUUUUUCUCUGUUAUUGGGCUUGUUGAUUAUUGCUUUGGCACCAUUCUUUCCGAACCCCAUGCGCGACCACCCUCUGUAACUCUCCACUCUUUCAUCCUCACUACCCAUCAGAAACACCACCCUCCCAUUUCCAUCAUCUCUUUCACGUGCAUGGAGUCUCAUGCAUGGCUACCCAANNNNNNNNNNNNNNNNNNNNNNNNNNNNNNNNNNNNNNNNNNNNNNNNNNNNNNNNNNNNNNNNNNNNNNNNNNNNNNNNNNNNNNNNNNNNNNNNNNNNAAAGUCCAGCCCUACUUGAACUCCUCCGCCUCCAUUACCAACAGCAGGCUGAGCCUCACCUGGGCCUUGAAUCCCUCCGUCAUCCACCACCGUCGACGAGGAAGAAGAAA
rnacentral:lncRNA from 1 species